rfam:Macaca mulatta chromosome 19, whole genome shotgun sequence.
CCGGCACCCAUGACGGCCUGCUUGCAAACCAGCUCCUGGUGAGGCAGACCCGAAAAUCCAGCGUG